rfam:Oryza barthii chromosome 5, whole genome shotgun sequence.
AAAAAGGCAAACCUUAUGUUUUGGUGUCUAAUUUUGACUGUCCGUCUUAUAUAAAAUUUUUUUAUAAUUCAUAUUUUCAUUGUUGUUAAAUGAUAAAACAUGAUUAAUAUUUUAUACGUGACUUAUUUUAUUAAUUUUUUUCAUAAUUUUUUCAAAUAAAACGGACGGUCAAACGUUGGAUAUGAAAAUAAGGGUUUGUCUUUUU